AGUGAACGCUGGCGGUAGGCCUAACACAUGCAAGUCGAACGGCAGCACAGUAAGAGCUUGCUCUUACGGGUGGCGAGUGGCGGACGGGUGAGGAAUACAUCGGAAUCUACUUUUUCGUGGGGGAUAACGUAGGGAAACUUACGCUAAUACCGCAUACGACCUACGGGUGAAAGCAGGGGAUCUUCGGACCUUGCGCGAUUGAAUGAGCCGAUGUCGGAUUAGCUAGUUGGCGGGGUAAAGGCCCACCAAGGCGACGAUCCGUAGCUGGUCUGAGAGGAUGAUCAGCCACACUGGAAAUGAGACACGGUCCAGACUCCUACGGGAGGCAGCAGUGGGGAAUAUUGGACAAUGGGCGCAAGCCUGAUCCAGCCAUACCGCGUGGGUGAAGAAGGCCUUCGGGUUGUAAAGCCCUUUUGUUGGGAAAGAAAAGCAGCAGGUUAAUACCCCGCUGUUCUGACGGUACCCAAAGAAUAAGCACCGGCUAACUUCGUG
rnacentral:rRNA from 1 species